rnacentral:lncRNA from 1 species
AAUUAAUAAUGCAACAUUUGCACAUAAGUCCUCUUAUAAUUUACUAACUAUUAGUAAGUCAUCUCUUGUAAUAUUUACACUUUAAUACCACUAAUUUGUAACAAUUAUAAAUUAGUCCAAUUAUCAACAUAUUGACAAUUAAGUCAUCCGGCGAUUCAAUAAUCGCAAUCUAGUUAUCCAAUCAAUCACAACCUCUUAUGUGUGUGACCCUAUAGGUUCUAUUCUAUCUGGUAGUGAGAUAUAUUUUAAUCACUAUCAACAAUAUCACUGAAACUCCUUUCAAUGGAUCGGAACAAUUCCAACUCAGCCCAAUGAGAAUUAUCGAUCAUCUAGAUAAUUCUCAUGAGUCUCACAAUCCACCAGUGACGCCUAGCAGCAUGU